rnacentral:tRNA from 1 species
AGGAGAGUGGCGCAGUGGUUUAGCGCGCGUGGCUCAUAACCACGAGGUCGAUUGUUCGAUUCAAUCCUCUCCUA